rnacentral:rRNA from 1 species
CUACGGGCCGCUGCAGUGAGGAAUUUUGCGCAAUGGGGGAAACCCUGACGCAGCAACGCCGCGUGAGCGAAGAAGGCCUUCGGGUCGUAAAGCUCUGUCAAGUGGGAAAAAAAUUCUUUGAUGAACAGUCAAAGGACUUGACGGUACCACUGGAGGAAGCACCGGCUAACUCCGUGCCAGCAGCCGCGGUAAUACGGAGGGUGCAAGCGUUGUUCGGAAUUACUGGGCGUAAAGAGCGUGUAGGCGGUUUGACAAGUCAGAUGUGAAAGCCCCGGGCUCAACCCGGGAAGUGCAUUUGAAACUGUUUCACUAGAGUAUGGGAGAGGAGAUUGGAAUUCCUGGUGUAGAGGUGAAAUUCGUAGAUAUCAGGAGGAACACCCGUGGCGAAGGCGAUUCUCUGGACCAAUACUGACGCUGAGACGCGAAAGCGUGGGGAGCAAACAGGAUUAGAUACCCGAGUAGUC